GGCCGACGCGCUGAGUGGUAUAGCAUGCGAUUGCAGCGCCAGUAUCGCAGGGUCCGGUGUUCGAACCCCGUCGGGACU